rnacentral:lncRNA from 1 species
CCCUGAUGACCUCACCUUUCCUGUGAGGCAAAAUGAGGGCAGUGCCCAAGAUUCUCCAGCACUACUCCUAUUGAUGAAGAAACCUCUGCGACACUGGGAGUUUUGUCUCGGAGCCGCUGAGAGGUUUUAAAGAGAUAACACAUGGAAAAGCUCAUAUACUCCCAUAAGGGGAUUCUCGCCGCCUCCAGCCACCCUGAGACAUGCAGUGUGUUCACUUUGGAGUAAUGCAGAUCGCCCUGCAAAGUUUUUCCCCGACACUUUCGUUUAUUGGACAGCAGCCCCUCUGCGUGUCAACUCCUCUGCAAGAGCUCACGGGCCCAGGCCUCUCAGCUGUCCUCACCCUGAACGGACCAGAGGGCCUCUGAGACCCGCAGCACAGUCCAGUCGGAAAUAAAACCGCUCUGGGGAGGAACCCGGCC